CCUACGGGUGGCUGCAGUGAGGAAUAUUGGUCAAUGGGCUUACGCCUGAACCAGCCAAGUCGCGUGAGGGAAGACUGCCCUAUGGGUUGUAAACCUCUUUUGUCAGGGAGCAACGCCGGCUACGUGUAGCCGGACUGAGAGUACCUGAAGAAAAAGCAUCGGCUAACUCCGUGCCAGCAGCCGCGGUAAUACGGAGGAUGAGAGCGUUAUCCGGAUUUAUUGGGUUUAAAGGGUGCGUAGGCGGGAUUCAAAGUCAGCGGUAAAAUCGCGGGGCUAAACCUCGCUCCGCAGUUGAAACUGGCGUGCUUGAGUGGGCGAGAAGUAUGCAGAAUGCGUGGUGUAGCGGUGAAAUGCAUAGAGAUCACGCAGAACUCCGAUGGCGAAGGCAGCAUACCGGAGCCCAACUGACGCUGAAGUACGAAAGCGUGGGUAGCGAACAGGAUUAGAUACCCGGGUAGUC
rnacentral:rRNA from 1 species